UACAAAAUUUGUGUCAUGUAAAUUCAUGGAGAAAAUAUUCUCUCAUCGAGUUGUUCUAGAAGAUAGUUAUGUAGAUGUUUUGGAAUAGUAGCAUGUUAUGUAGAUGUUUUGGAAUAGUAGCAUAUUUAUGUAGAUGUUUUGGAAUAGUAGCAUAUUUUGGAAUAGUAGCAGCCGGGAGAAGAAUUACUUCCAGAAACAGGUCCCACUGGGGAAGUUGAAUCCACCCAACUAGUUGCUAGCGAGGACAUAGUUUCCAAACUUGCUGCUAUCGGCUUCAAUUACCUCCAUUGUCAAAAGGCUGCCAUAAACACUGCUAAUGCUGGAGUUGAGGAAGCAAUGACAUGGUUACUUUCUCACAUGGAUGAUCCAGAUAUAGAUGAGCCUAUUUCACAUAACUCUCAUGCAAUGGAUCUUCAAUCU